ACUUUACCCCGUGAACGAAACAGUUAGACAAAAAUAUUUGAAGGACUCAGCUCUCUGCCUCUCUCUCUCUACUCUCAACUCUUUCUCGAUUUACUCUCUCGAGAACAAACCUGAAGGACGAAGUGAAGGAUAAAUUUAAGAUUUGGUAUUUGAAUACACAUGUCUUUGGCUCCAAUUAGUAGGCUUUUACCGAUUUUGUUUUAAUUUUGCAGGUGAUUAGGGCUUCAGAUCGGGGCUUUUACUCUUUCACUCAGGUUAAUUGGCACAGGUCUGUUUUGUUUUGUUGGAAACCUGCAAGUAAUACAUUUUGAGAAUUAUGGGAAGCUAUUUGAGAAGGAUUUGGAUGUUUCAGUAUAUAUUGAGGAGCACAUGCGUUUAACCUACUAUUUAUCCAAAAUAAGCCACAGGUUCAGGAUAAUAAUUCUUCUUGAGUUUUUAGUUGUGACAGCUAGCCAAUUUAUGGCUCUUUUGCACACGACAGGAGAUAACGGAGUCCUCAACUUCAUUAACGCUGGUGACUUUGUUAUAACAACAUUUGGUUGCUCUUUGGCCAAACAUCGCAAAUGGUGUUAUUCAGAUAAAAGGCUGAGAGAACCUAUUCCUCGCAAUGGCAGAAAAGAGCCGAUCAGCCUAGCACAGAAGACAGAAGACAAUGUAUGGUCCGAAUGAUGAAGUAGCAAUGAAUGACUUAGCACCCAACACUGACAUGUAUACUUUACAAUUGAUUUUUGAUGUUCCGGUUUAAAAUUAUGAUAGAGUUGCUUUGUAGUUUGAUGGCUUGUUUAGGAAGGGAUUUAAGAAUGUACAAGACUGAUAUUGCAAAAUUUUUAUAAAAAUUGUUGCAUUUUACUUUUUCCA